AUACGUAGGUGGCAAGCGUUGUCCGGAUUUAUUGGGCGUAAAGCGAGCGCAGGCGGUUUUUUAAGUCUGAUGUGAAAGCCUUCGGCUUAACCGGAGAAGUGCAUCGGAAACUGGGAGACUUGAGUGCAGAAGAGGACAGUGGAACUCCAUGUGUAGCGGUGAAAUGCGUAGAUAUAUGGAAGAACACCAGUGGCGAAGGCGGCUUACUGGACUGCAACUGACGUUGAGGCUCGAAAGUGUGGGUAGCAAACAGGAUUAGAUACCCUGGUAGUCCAUGCCGUAAACGAUGAAUGCUAGGUGUUGGAUGGUUUCCGCCCUUCAGUGCCGCAGCUAACGCAUUAAGCAUUCCGCCUGGGGAGUACGACCGCAAGGUUGAA
rnacentral:rRNA from 1 species